rnacentral:rRNA from 1 species
AUACCAGCUGGCUGCAACUGUUUAUUAAAAACACAGCACUGUGCAAACACGAAAGUGGACGUAUACGGUGUGACGCCUGCCCGGUGCCGGAAGGUUAAUUGAUGGGGUUAUCCGUAAGGAGAAGCUCUUGAUCGAAGCCCCGGUAAACGGCGGCCGUAACUAUAACGGUCCUAAGGUAGCGAAAUUCCUUGUCGGGUAAGUUCCGACCUGCACGAAUGGCGUAAUGAUGGCCAGGCUGUCUCCACCCGAGACUCAGUGAAAUUGAACUCGCUGUGAAGAUGCAGUGUACCCGCGGCAAGACGGAAAGACCCCGUGAACCUUUACUAUAGCUUGACACUGAACACUGGUCCUUGAUGUGUAGGAUAGGUGGGAGGCUUUGAAGUGUGGACGCCAGUCUGCAUGGAGCCAUCCUUGAAAUACCACCCUUUAAUGGCUGGUGUUCUAACGUGGACCCGUUACCCGGGUUGCGGACAGUGUCUGGUGGGUAGUUUGACUGGGGCGGUCUCCUCCUAAAGAGUAACGGAGGAGCACGAAGGUUAGCUAAUCCUGGUCGGACAUCAGGAGGUUAGUGCAAAGGCAUAAGCUAGCUUGACUGCGAGAGUGACGGCUCGAGCAGGUGCGAAAGCAGGUCUUAGUGAUCCGGUGGUUCUGAAUGGAAGGGCCAUCGCUCAACGGAUAAAAGGUACUCCGGGGAUAACAGGCUGAUACCGCCCAAGAGUUCAUAUCGACGGCGGUGUUUGGCACCUCGAUGUCGGCUCAUCACAUCCUGGGGCUGAAGUAGGUCCCAAGGGUAUGGCUGUUCGCCAUUUAAAGUGGUACGCGAGCUGGGUUUAGAACGUCGUGAGACAGUUCGGUCCCUAUCUGCCGUGGGCGCUGGAGAAUUGAGGGGGGCUGCUCCUAGUACGAGAGGACCGGAGUGGACGCAUCACUGGUGUUCGGGUUGUCAUGCCAAUGGCAUUGCCCGGUAGCUAAAUGCGGAAGAGAUAAGUGCUGAAAGCAUCUAAGCACGAAACUUGC